CAGCCGCCGCGGUAAGACAGAGGAUGCAAGCGUUAUCCGGAAUGAUUGGGCGUAAAGCGUCUGUAGGUGGCUUUUCAAGUCCGCCGUCAAAUCCCAGGGCUCAACCCUGGACAGGCGGUGGAAACUACCAAGCUGGAGUACGGUAGGGGCAGAGGGAAUUUCCGGUGGAGCGGUGAAAUGCGUAGAUAUGCGGAGGAACACCGAUGGCGAAGGCAAUCCCCUGGGCCUGUACUGACGCUCAUGCACGAAAGCGUGGGGAGCAAACAGGAUUAGAUACCCGCGUAGUCCCUGUCUCUUAUAU
rnacentral:rRNA from 1 species